UACGAAGGGGGCUAGCGUUGCUCGGAAUUACUGGGCGUAAAGCGCCCGUAGGCGGAUUGUUAAGUCGGGGGUGAAAUCCUGGAGCUCAACUCCAGAACUGCCUUCGAUACUGGCGAUCUCGAGUUCGGGAGAGGUGAGUGGAACUGCGAGUGUAGAGGUGAAAUUCGUAGAUAUUCGCAAGAACACCAGUGGCGAAGGCGGCUCACUGGCCCGAUACUGACGCUGAGGUGCGAAAGCGUGGGGAGCAAACAGG
rnacentral:rRNA from 1 species